UGGGCGUAAAGAGCUCGUAGGCGGUUUGUCGCGUCUGCCGUGAAAGUCCGGGGCUCAACUCCGGAUCUGCGGUGGGUACGGGCAGACUAGAGUGAUGUAGGGGAGACUGGAAUUCCUGGUGUAGCGGUGAAAUGCGCAGAUAUCAGGAGGAACACCGAUGGCGAAGGCAGGUCUCUGGGCAUUAACUGACGCUGAGGAGCGAAAGCAUGGGGAGCGAACAGGAUUAGAUACCCUGGUAGUCCAUGCCGUAAACGUUGGGCACUAGGUGUGGGGGACAUUCCACGUUUUCCGCGCCGUAGCUAACGCAUUAAGUGCCCCGCCUGGGGAGUACGGCCGCAAGGCUAAAACUCAAAGGAAUUGACGGGGGCCCGCACAAGCGGCGGAGCAUGCGGAUUAAUUCGAUGCAACGCGAAGAACCUUACCAAGGCUUGACAUGGGCCGGACCGGGCUGGAAACAGUCCUUCCCCUUUGGGGCCGGUUCACAGGUGGUGCAUGGUUGUCGUCAGCUCGUGUCGUGAGAUGUUGGGUUAAGUCCCGCAACGAGCGCAACCCUCGUUCCAUGUUGCCAGCGCGUAAUGGCGGGGACUCAUGGGAGACUGCCGGGGUCAACUCGGAGGAAGGUGGGGACGACGUCAAAUCAUCAUGCCCCUUAUGUCUUGGGCUUCACGCAUGCUACAAUGGCCGGUACAAAGGGUUGCGAUACUGUGAGGUGGAGCUAAUCCCAAAAAGCCGGUCUCAGUUCGGAUUGGGGUCUGCAACUCGACCCCAUGAAGUCGGAGUCGCUAGUAAUCGCAGAUCAGCAACGCUGCGGUGAAUACGUUCCCGGGCCUUGUACACACCGCCCGUCAAGUCACGAAAGUUGGUAACACCCGAAGCCGGUGGCCUAACCCCUUGUGGGAGGGAGCUGUCGAAGGUGGGACUGGCGAUUGGGAC
rnacentral:rRNA from 1 species